AUCGAUCACAAAUAAAUAGUUGACUCCACCAAGGCAAAUCUACAAAGACUAGUAAAAAUAAAUGAUACCUGAUGCCUGUUUACUUUGAAUACCAAUAUCAGGAUGUCCUCGAAAUCAGAAGGUAACCAGGCACACUUCAUGUUCAAAAAUAUGAGAUGAAACAGAAUUCAAUAUUUUCCAAUAUUAUGGAAAUUUGAAUCAUCAGUUUCAUUAAAUCUAUCGAUGGUUAAUCUGAUUUGCCAAAAAAUACCAUUUCAUAGUAAAAUUCACUCCAACAGCAAUAAAAUCUAUCCAGAGUCAGAUUUACCUUCAAAAUGUCUGCCUUACCAAGACGGUCCAUGGACGAGGCAAAACAAGUUUCUCAAGUUGAUAACCUCGGAAAACGUCAUUAAUGAAUUAUCAAUGACAAUCAACUAAAGGUCAAAAUAAUACCGGAAAAAUAUCGAACUAAACAUGAAAAGUCUUCAAAUGAACAAAUUGAGAUCAAAGAAUCACAGUUGCAGCAAUUAAAGCAAUGAGAGUUUAUGGAAAAUUUUCCCAAUCAAAAGUCUAAAGUCUUCUUCUAAACAAUUUAACUUCCAAUAUUCCAAUUGUUUAUGAUUCAACAAGAGUCUCAUGAGCUUACACACAAUCAUGUAUUAACAUGAAGUAAGCCUUUCAUCUGACAGCUGUCACUCGAAACAAUCUCAAUGAUUGAACAUCUUGCAAGAUUAAUCAAAACUCAUUGAUUUCAGCUAUUCAUUAAUAUUACAAUAUCAUUGUAAAAACUCAUCAACGAGAAUAAGAUCAUCUCACCCUUAAUUUACCUUCAUUGACUCAUUACUAAUGGGUAUAUUUAAAUUAUAAUCAUCUUUAUUUAGAUACAGAAACAUGAAUAAAGACUUACAAUUUAUGUUAA